GAUGAACGCUGGCGGCGUGCUUAACACAUGCAAGUCGAACGAUGAAGCCCAGCUUGCUGGGUGGAUUAGUGGCGAACGGGUGAGUAACACGUGAGUAACCUGCCCUUAACUCUGGGAUAAGCCUGGUAAACUGGGUCUAAUACCGGAUAGGAGCGUCCACCGCAUGGUGGGUGUUGGAAAGAUUUAUCGGUUUUGGAUGGACUCGCGGCCUAUCAGCUUGUUGGUGAGGUAAUGGCUCACCAAGGCGACGACGGGUAGCCGGCCUGAGAGGGUGACCGGCGACACUGGGACUGAGACACGGCACAGACUCCUACGGGAGGCAGCAGUGGGGAAUAUUGCACAAUGGGAGCAAGCCUGAUGCAGCGACGCCGCGUGAGGGAUGACGGCCUUCGGGUUGUAAACAUAUGUCAGUAGGGAAGAAGCGAAAGUGACGGUACCUGCAGAAGAAGCACCGGCUAACUACGUG
rnacentral:rRNA from 1 species